ACCAAUACUGGUACAAAUAAAUCAAAUACUGCUUUUCAAGAGACUGAAGAAAUAGAAACGGACUCCAGAAUAUGCCCCCCAAAAUCAGAUGUACCUCUACCAUGAAGACAGAAAUGGUAGUGUGAAUUUUUGGCCCCAAAGAGGCAGAAGUUGUGGUACUGUUAAAUAUGGCAGAGGGUGCACUAACUUUAAAAAAUCAUGCAGCAGUGCCAAAAGGACUCAUGACAAAUACCAAGAGGGUUGAAUCAUUGUUGAAUAGGAAAAUACUAUAAAAAUAAUUAAGAGAAGGACAGAUGCAAAGAAA
rnacentral:lncRNA from 1 species